rnacentral:rRNA from 1 species
GGGUUGUGAGGUUAAGCGACUAAGCGUACACGGUGGAUGCCCUGGCAGUCAGAGGCGAUGAAGGACGUGCUAAUCUGCGAUAAGCGUCGGUAAGGUGAUAUGAACCGUUAUAACCGGCGAUUUCCGAAUGGGGAAACCCAGUGUGUUUCGACACACUAUCAUUAACUGAAUCCAUAGGUUAAUGAGGCGAACCGGGGGAACUGAAACAUCUAAGUACCCCGAGGAAAAGAAAUCAACCGAGAUUCCCCCAGUAGCGGCGAGCGAACGGGGAGCAGCCCAGAGCCUGAAUCAGUGUGUGUGUUAGUGGAAGCGUCUGGAAAGGCGCGCGAUACAGGGUGGACAGC